GCACGGCGACCUCAGUCGGUAGAGCGUGAGACUCUUAAUCUCAGUGCCGUGGGUUCGAGCCCCACGCUGGGCG